UACGAAGGGGGCUAGCGUUGUUCGGAAUUACUGGGCGUAAAGGGUGCGCAGGCGGCGUCGCAAGUCAGGCGUGAAAUCCCCGGGCUUAACCUGGGAACUGCACUUGAAACUACGAUGCUGGAGUAUGGCAGAGGGGGGUGGAAUGCCGCGUGUAGCAGUGAAAUGCGUAGAGAUGCGGCGGAACACCGAUGGCGAAGGCAGCCCCCUGGGCUGAGAUUGACGCUCAGGCACGAAAGCGUGGGGAGCAAACAGG
rnacentral:rRNA from 1 species